rnacentral:rRNA from 1 species
UACGUAGGCAGCGAGCGUUGUUCGGAAUUACUGGGCGUAAAGAGUGUGUAGGCGGUGCUCUAAGUCUGUUGUGAAAUCUCCCGGCUCAACUGGGAGGGUGCGGCGGAAACUGGAGUGCUCGAGUGUGGGAGAGGUAAGCGGAAUUCCUGGUGUAGCGGUGAAAUGCGUAGAUAUCAGGAGGAACACCUGUGGUGUAGACAGCUUACUGGACCCCGACUGACGCUGAGACACGAAAGCGUGGGUAGCAAACAGG